AACGCGAAGAACCUUACCGGGGCUUGACAUCUGCGGAAAUCCUAUGAAAGUAGGCUUCGGGGCAACCCGACCGCAAGACAGGUGCUGCAUGGCUGUCGUCAGCUCGUGCCGUGAGGUGUUGGGUUAAGUCCCGCAACGAGCGCAACCCUUGUCGUGUGUUGGUCCACAAAGAUCUCUCACACGAGACCGCCGAUGAGAAGUCGGAGGAAGGUGGGGAUGACGUCAAGUCCGCAUGGCCCUUACGUCCCGGGCUACACACGUGCUACAAUGCGCCGGACAACGAGCCGCGAACUCGCAAGAGUAAGCCAAUCUCUUAAACCGGUGCUCAGUUCGGAUUGAAGGCUGCAACUCGCCUUCAUGAAGUCGGAAUCGCUAGUAAACGCAGAUCAGCUACGCUGCGUUGAAUACGUUCCCGGGCCUUGUA
rnacentral:rRNA from 1 species